UGGAUUAGUGGCGAACGGGUGAGUAACACGUGGGUGAUCUGCCUCGUACUUCGGGAUAAGCCUGGGAAACUGGGUCUAAUACCGGAUAGGACCUUCCUUUAGUGUGGAAGGUGGAAAGUUUUUCGGUACGAGAUGAGCCCGCGGCCUAUCAGCUUGUUGGUGGGGUAAUGGCCUACCAAGGCGACGACGGGUAGCCGGCCUGAGAGGGUGUACGGCCACAUUGGGACUGAGACACGGCCCAA
rnacentral:rRNA from 1 species